ACCAAAGGAAACAUGCCGCUCGCCUCCUCAAUCCCCAUUCUUCUCGUUUCUACCCACCGCCCCGUCUUGUUCGCCGCCGGCAAACCCACCCUCGCCGCUCGCCGGCGCCCCCAGCCACCCAGUCCCCUCCACGCCGGUCACCCCACCUACUCAAUCCCCUCCGCCCGCAGAUCGGCCCACCUGAUUCCCCGCGCCUCCGCAAAACCUUAGAGCAUCGAGGACCUCCGCCCGGUCCUGGCCCUCACCGUUCGGAGCAAGGAGCGGCUGGAGCUGGGCGGACGAAGACGCACACGAGGAGGAGGGGACGACCUCUUCUCUUCACCGCCUCUGCCCCCACCAGUAGUCCUCGCCCAUGGCCAUGGCCCCAUCCGCCGUUCUGCUGCGCCGAGCUCCUACUCCCGGUGGCCACGAGGUCCGGUAUGAUCAGGCGGCAAACGCUCCAAGGUCCAAGAUGAGUAAGCACAAGGGAGCUCACCUUCUGAGUCCAUACCGCUUUCGGAGCAAUGCUGGAGCUGGGUCAAGAGAGCAAGCGUUGCUGGUUCGAGGCUGAGUCUUGAGUGUGACCUACCUGGGAGAAGUAAGGCAUCGCUAGGUAUCGACGUAUCGUUUCGCGCGUGCCGUGGUGUGCCACCGAUGCGACAAAGAAGCUGACCUGUUGCUGCUCUCCUCCGAUGAUAAUGGCAACAAUGUGUUGUUGCUAACCGGCCAACCUACUGUUGGAUUGAGUUACACAUUAAAGGCAGUGACAUCUGCUCCUGCUGCUGGCUAUGUCCCUCACAUGCUGCCACAGCCAGCCAGCCACUACUCUGACAUGCCGUUGAGCUACCUAUGGCUGCGGCUUCUUGUGCUGCGGCCUACCGAAACCUGGGGCUUCUGGCUCGGCAUCGAUGAAAGAUGUGGGGCGCUGCUGGUGUCGCCAGAGAGGAUGCCACCGUCCUCGCAUCCUGCUGCUAGGCGUCCAGGAUAGACACGCUAGAUUCCAUCACCCUCAACUAGGGCGACGAGAUCAAUACCGUGUAUUCACUUUACUAAUCUUAUUGGUGAUGAGGGCUACGAGUGAUGAUACUAGCAUUUUCAUGUCAAGUGGGGUAUGAGAUCCUGUAAUUUUUCCAAUGGGAUGUAUGAGAUCAAUAUGUCAGUUAGUUAAUGGUCUUCAUCUUCCUUCUACUCGUAUAUAUGUCGUUCUUGCUCUGGUUUGAUGGUGGUGGUGUGCUAUGAAUUGAAGGCACAUCUGACACGUCAUCGAUUUUGCUCGUCGAGAAGACAAGCUCGACAAUGAAGGAGAAAAAGAAGAUGGUUCCAGCCACCAACGAAAACCGUACCCAGAUUUUCACAAGUGAACUACUAGUCUUGAUGGUUUGGGCAUGCCAUAUGUAUCCUGGAAGUUUCAGUGUAGCUAGCUGUGUAUCCUGGAAGCUACGUGGCGUAGUGAUGUGGCUGACGGAUUUUUCCUGGAAGUUUCAGGGUAGCUAGCUGUGUAUUGUUAGCUCUCCAAGACUUAAUAUUUUUUGAUGGCUAGCUGAUGUUAUUUUGAGAUAAAACAGGGUAGCUAGUUGUGUGUGUGUCGUGUUGGUUCUUGUGAUUGUAUCAAUCCGUGGACCUUUCAUCGAUGUGUAGCUUGUCUGAUUCAUUUUUUACUUUGGUUGACAAUGUAACUCUGAAUGUGUUGUAAUUUUUCCUUGUUGAUAUAUUUA